UGGAGGAGGCGCCCAGGGCGGCAGGUGCUGGGGCGCUCACCUGGGGGACAGCGGUGACGAAAACGCCAGUGUUUUAGAGGCAAACGAGGGAUCUGGGAUACGACAUUGACAGGGAAAAGCCUGAAAUUUUGGCAUGGCCAACUCAGAGUGUGGAGUCAACGCAGGCAUCUAAUCUUAAUUGUGAUCUAAAUGCUGUAACAGCUCCUCAGAUGCCUCAUUUGGCUUAAUGCUGAUAGCUUUUGAUAUUCACAUGGCAUUCAAC